rnacentral:rRNA from 1 species
GACGAACGCUGGCGGCGUGCCUAAUACAUGCAAGUAGAACGCACAGUUUAUACCGUAGCUUGCUACACCAUAAACUGUGAGUUGCGAACGGGUGAGUAACGCGUAGGUAACCUGCCUGGUAGCGGGGGAUAACUAUUGGAAACGAUAGCUAAUACCGCAUAAUAUUGAUUAUUGCAUGAUAAUUGAUUGAAAGCUGCUAUUGCAUCACUACCAGAUGGACCUGCGUUGUAUUAGCUAGUAGGUGAGGUAACGGCUCACCUAGGCGACGAUACAUAGCCGACCCGGGAGGGUGAUCGGCCACACCUGGAAUGAGACACGGCCCAGAAUCCCACGGGAGGCAGCCGUAGGGAAUCUUCGGCAAUGGACGAAAGUCUGACCGAGCAACGCCGCGUGAGUGAAGAAGGUUUUCGGAUCGUAAAGCUCUGUUGUAAGAGAAGAAAGGGUGUGAGAGUGGAAAGUUCACACUGUGACGGUAUCUUACCAGAAAGGGACGGCUAACUACGUG